AAAACAAUUAAAAUUGAUUAAUCAAAUUAAAUUAAAUUAAUGAGUUAGUUAAAGGAAGAAUGGGGGGUGUACAUAGCCAAGCAAUGGUGCACAUAGGAGAAACUGUUUGGGCCUUAAGCCCAAACCGAUCCAAGUCACAAACAAACAAACAGAACUUCACAAGCUAAAGUAGACAAAAAUGCGCUUAUGCAAUAAGUUCUAAAAGGCUCAGCACGCAGUCUCAUCAUCGCGUCUUCAUAUCGUUUAUGCUCAUGGAUCCACGUCUUCAUCACGAACUGAGAACGAAAACAAGACGAAGAACAACGGCUCCAAAAUCACAUCAAACUCUGAAAUCAACAUCAUACAACUCAAUUAAACAUUUGUGCAAGCUUAAAAAUGGAAAUAACAUAAUGAAAAUCGAAGCGAGAACUCACCAAAUUGGAGCUUUGAUGCAAAUAGGUAAUGAAUUCUCCUUCCUCUGUUUCAAUUGGCCUUCUCUUCUUCUCAAAUUCUUCGCUGCUAUCGUGUGCGUUGUUAUUCGCUCCGUGUUGAAUCGUUGCGUGAUUGUGAGAGGUUGAGAGGAUUGUUACGUGAAUUGCUGUGAAGAGGGAUUGAGGGUAAAAAAUGAUUGAUUUUUCUCUGUGAUUUUUUCCUAUGAGACUUUUGAUGCAUCCGUGAAUGAAUGAAGCGUGUACUUAUUUAUAGGGUUCUAAUUCAGUUACCAAAUGCACGUGAAAUUCACAUUCAAAUUCAAUAGUUAGUUGGACAUGAGAAAUUAUGUUAGCAUGUUAGUUAUUGAUUCGAAUUCAAUUGGUGAGUUAAUUAUGAAAUUCAAAUGAGUGAAAACGAAUUUGGUUUGAAUUUUGCGUUGCGUUUGUGUAUUUACAGUGGAAUUUCGAAAUUCAAUUUGUUGUUAAUUGCAGGUUUGUGAAUUUGUUAGAGUCAUUUGCAGGUUGGAGAUUAGUCGUGAGUUUGAAUUUAAGGAGUAUUGAAACUGAACGUUUGAAAGGCUUUGUUUAGAUUGGUAAUGUUAAUUGGAGUUAUUGAUUUUUGCAGGGUAUGUUAAUUGGAGUUGCUUGUGAAACUUGUGAACUCAUAUACGCUUGGAAUGGUUUGUUGCUUGUGGAACUCAUGCUUGCGCAUGGAAUUGGCGUGAAGAAUGGAGUUUGGAAGGGACUUGGAUGCUAUAGAAUGCUAUUGAAUGUUAUCAAAUGGAAUGCCAUGGAGUCAUAUGCUUGGAAUGGAUUUCGAUGGAAUUUGAAUUGUGUAGAAAUUAUAGAUUUUUGUAAUUUGUGAAAUUGGACAUUGUGUUAAAACUUGAAUGUUGGUUUGAAAUGUAGUCUUUGUAGUUUUGGAUUUGGUGUGAAUUAUAACUUGAAUGGAGAUGUUGUAAAUUGAAAAAUAUGAAUGGAAAUCAUGACUGAUUGAAUGACAUAAUUGUUUAUGGUUGCAAUUUGAAUGAAACAUGGUUUAUGAUUGCAAUUUAAAUAUUGUAAUGUGAAUUGAAAUGGAAAUUGAAUGGUUUUAAUGGUUGGAGAUGGUCAUGUAUGGAUUGAUUGGUUUAAAAUUCGAAUGAAAUAAGGUUUAAAAAUGAAAUGAGGGUUAAAAAUGGUCAAAUGGAUCAGUUUUCUUGCA
rnacentral:lncRNA from 1 species